rnacentral:misc_RNA from 1 species
AAAGUCGUAACAAGGUUUCCGUAGGUGAACCUGCGGAAGGAUCAUUACCGAGUUCCGGGUCCUUGGGCCCCUACUCCCACCCUUUGUGUACCUACCGAUUUUUCGUUGCCUCGGCGGGGUCGAUCCCCAGGGCCUUCCGGCCCUGUGGGGGACCCGCCGGGGGAACACGCCAAAACUCUUGUCAACAGUGACGUCUGAGAAACAAACAAACUAAAUUAAAACUUUCAACAACGGAUCUCUUGGUUCUG